GAGAUUUUUGGGUGUGGACCAAGAGAAGUCCAGGAUACCAGUUGUGUAAGUAGGUCUAGAGGACAAGUGGUUCAGACAGGAGCAGAACAAGUGAUUCAAGGACUUAUUUACUUUCGGUUCCAAAAAGAUAGUGAUAGAUUAUCUUAUGUUAGACCACAUGGGAACCAUAGAGAGAGGCUGUCUGAGAUUCGGGGAGAGUAGAAAUGAGCAGUAAGCACUUUAGAAAGCUCAGUGAGAAAUAUAGGCAUUGUCCCUAAGGAAAAUGAAAGGCUGUCAAAGCACUCAACAUCACAGUGCUUGGGUCAACAGGUCAUUGUUCUCAUGAUGUGGGCAUUGAGUUAACCAGAAUGCUGAUAAGAUAUGGAGAAGUUGCAAAAUCAUAGUUUAUUUUGUUUUGAAACGUGUAGGUAAAUAAAUGCCGGGAAUCCCUGUUGC
rnacentral:lncRNA from 1 species